UGAAGUUGAAGUUGCUAAGUCAUGGUGAUCUAGAAGUCGCGCGCGCUGCACGCUCAGAAUGCAGAAUACCCCGUCAACGCGAAGCGCGCAGCGUUUAUGCAUGCGCACACAGCACAAGACAGGACACGCUUCAAAUUAGGUAGGCUUUUGUACAUCUGAAUGUGUCUGAAUCUUGUUUGAUACCAAAGAUGUGAUGUGUUUUCAGAAAAGUGGCAGGUUUUGUUUUUUGCUGACAUAGCAUACGCGUUUGCGUCGUCAAAGGACUAUUGCUUCAGCAGUUUGACAGCCCGGUUUAUAGAUUGACAGGCAGUGAGCAGAACGAGUCGUAGUCCCGAACUGCGAAAAACACAAUAGUUGGGAACUACUUCUGUGUUUUAAUAAAACAGGUGAUAUAGCAGCCAAUUUGGGAGAGUUGAAGAUUGCCAUUCUGCUUCAUUCCACACUGCUUUUACACCAAGGAAGUAACGUAGGUCAGCGGUGUAUGAGGGCAGACUAACUUCAAUUAGCAUUUUGCAGGCGCUUAAGCCGCAUGAUGGAGCUUAGAGCUUGAUGAGAUCAAGAAAACCUCGCUGACGAUGUCUCCCCACUCUCCAGGGAGUGCUGGACAAUUUCCAUUUUUACCAGGUCUUCCCAGCCUAGACUGGUGGUCAGUUUGGUGCUAUGACAGAGCCUGUGAGCCCGUCUGGGAAGCCCCAUUCCAUAGAAUGGUAUUAUGAUGACUAUUACAGUACAGUACAGUGCACUACACACUGUAGAUUAUUUUGAUGGUUUAGUGCUCACUGUACAAUUGAAUAGUAUACUGCAGAGUACUGUAAUACACAAUGCAAUGAUAUUCUAGUGUUCAUUUGUGUGUGCUUAACCCAAUCCAUUCCAUGCCACGUGUAUGUCAUAUGUUGUGUUACCUACAGAAAAAACAAUGCUAAACAGUUAUUUUAAGUCACAGUCCUUCCUACAUAAAAUCUGUGGACAAUUUACAUGUUUGGGUUUGAAACCAGUAGGUUUUUGCAAGGAGAAACACCCCACCUUUUGGCAAGACCAUAAUGAAGAUUGUAAUUGCAGAAAACAGUAUUGUCAUGCAAGUCCACUGUAGACACAUUUAAUUUAUAUUGUGUUUGUCAGUUCUGUGUGACAUCAAAUUAGGUAUUUUGCCUGCAAGUUGAAUGGCCUAAAUCUCCAUCAAAGAUUGUCAAAAAAUCAAGUACAUCUAUCCAACCCAACUUUUUUAUAUUAUAAUAA
ensembl:lncRNA